UCUAACUCACAGAGAUCUGCCUGCCUCUGCCUCCUGAGCGCUGGAAUUAAAGGCGCGUGCUACCACUGCUAGGCUCCAUCUUGGUUAAACAAUGAUAAUUCCCUAAACAGUGAGUUCCGGAACUCAAGUAGCUUCUUUUGUAGAUUCUUCUCUCUCCUCAUACACCCUGGUAAAAGUGGCCUGGCCACCAGAGAUACUUUCGAUCCCCUGAUAUUCUGUAACUCUCUGGUUACCCCCCAGCAACAACCAGCUCUAGGGAAAAAAAGGGAAACGUCUCAAACCUCUUCCUGCUUUCAUUCUUCCCUAUAACCACUACAGCCCGUAAGCAGAUGGCUGGCUCUGACCCUCACACCAGGCACCCCUCUUCAGGUCUCUCAUAACAGGAUAAAAGCCUGCACUGUCCCCAAGUAGCUGGCCUCCUUGUGAGUCUGCUUUUCACCAACUUUCCACUCCUGGAGACAAAUUAUGAACACACAAGCAGAUCAUUUACAAAGAAAAAAUUCAUCAGGCAAAUUCCUCUGAUGCCGUUACGAUAACAGCGUGCAGCUUGACAUUGAGGGCCAUUGCAUUCCUGCAGCUCUCUAACAAGAUGGUGGCCAACCAUUUGUUCCCUUCUAUGAUAACAUCCCUUCUCCCCAUACUAUGUUCCCAGCUUACCCAGAUUCUGGAAUUUUAAAGCAACCAGGAGCAGAGUUACCACACCAUUUUAUGAACUUCCUGGAACAUUGGCUGGUGGCACACAAGGCUGGACGUCACUCGGCUAGCCCAGAGAGUGUUUUAACAGUUUUUGCUCUCUUCAUCUUUGUGGACAGUAACUGCACCAGGAAACAGGCACUGCUCCUUAAGAACUGCAAGGCCACGGAGUCCACCUGUUCCAUCUGAGCUCACUCUGCCAGGAGCCAAUGCUAGGGGCCACGGAUUAAAUAGGUGUUCCCUGCAAGUCCCCACAGUGAAGGUCUUCUAGUUUCUGGACCUGCAGGUCCCUAGGUGCUCAGCCACUCUCCAUCAUCCCAUGUGACCUCAGCCACACACCUUCUUGAGGAGGAAAUAAUGGGUAAUGCUCCAAAGAAGUCUUUGGUCUUCCUACAGCACCUGAGGAAUUUUCCAGGAUCGCACAAAGGCCACAAGCUAUAUCCAGGGAGUCCUCAGUUCCCCAGAACUCUAUGACUACUUUGCUCUGAAGUCAAGGACCUGAGCUCCGACUGAUGGACUGUAACUGCUGUGGCAUCUUCAGUUAGAGAACUGAUCUCCAUCUGUCUUCUUUGCCUGCUGGGAGGCAGAUGGUGAGCUGUGAGGGAGAUGGAGUUGGGCUCCCGGCCCUGGGAAAACGUAUCACCAUGGCUGGAAUGUCUAUUUCUGACUUCGUUUGUGUAAAAGAAUACUUUGUAUCCUGGUUGAAGCAUGAUGAUUUUACACCACCCUGGUCAGCCAGCUCUAACUCGCGUGGGGUUACCAACACUGAUGGGCAGUAGUGGUAAGGAAGCUAUUGUUUAGACAUUUUGUAAAGGAUACAUUUUUAAAUACUUGAUUAUGUUUAUUAGUUGUGUGUGUGUGUGUGUGUGUGUGUGUGUGUGUGUGUGUGUGUGUGUGUGUGCCCGCGCGCGCAUGUACUGGUCAGAGGACAACUUGUGGAACUUGGUUUUCUCCAUCCACCAUGUGGGACACAGGACUAGAGCUUAGGUCUUCAGACUUCGCAAUAAGUGCCUGUACUCACUGAGCCAAGUAAACUCUCUGGGCUAAGUACAGACUUUUUAAUCACACAAAUAUCAGCCUAGUACUCUCAGAAAACCAUGUUCACACCUCUCUGGGUUACAGAAAGCCUGGGUGGGGUAAGAUAACCUGGAACAUAAUGUAAAUUCAGUAUUUUUUAAUUCAUUUUUGUUCUUUUGGUAUUUGAGAGGAAAUUCAGACAAUUCAUUGAACAAGACAAAUGAUUAACCACUUGCCAUCUGCAGAAACCCACAUCAUCAUUGACCCUGGUCAAAUAAAAUUACAUUUGUAUGUGAAUAUGAA